rnacentral:rRNA from 1 species
AGCGAACGCUGGCGGCAGGCCUAACACAUGCAAGUCGAACGAACUCUUCGGAGUUAGUGGCGGACGGGUGAGUAACACGUGGGAACGUGCCUUUAGGUUCGGAAUAGCGCAGAGAAAUUUGCGCUAAUACCGAAUGAGCCCUUCGGGGGAAAGAUUUAUCGCCGAAAGAUCGGCCCGCGUUGGAUUAGGUAGUUGGUGUGGUAAAGGCGCACCAAGCCUACGAUCCAUAGCUGGUCUGAGAGGAUGAUCAGCCACACUGGGACUGAGACACGGCCCAGACUCCUACGGGAGGCAGCAGUGGGGAAUCUUGCGCAAUGGGCGAAAGCCUGACGCAGCCAUGCCGCGUGAAUGAUGAAGGUCUUAGGAUUGUAAAAUUCUUUUACCAGGGACGAUAAUGACGGUACCUGGAGAAAAAGCCCCGGCUAACUUCGUGCCAGCAGCCGCCGUAACAC